rnacentral:lncRNA from 1 species
AUGAACUGAGUUGUUGUAAAAAAAUUUAUAAGUGACAAAAUAUUUAUUUAGUUGUCCAGCUAAUAAUUAUUAAAAUAUCGAAGGUAUUAUUUCAAUGUUUGAAUACGGGCCCCUUCUUUCUUCGGCACUGGAGAUCUAAACGGCCACUUCCCGACAUCGCUAUUUACUGCUGAAGCGUCUAGAUUCCACUGUCCAUGGCAUAUUGUGUGAUCCCAACUAAUCUUCGGAUGAUUCUUUGAUCUUUAAGCACUCGGGAUUUCCUCCAGUUCUGAUACCCUGCUUCCGGAUAGAGCUC